rnacentral:rRNA from 1 species
UCGCCCUUCUGGAGUUUGGCAGAGGGGGGUGGAAUUCCACGUGUAGCAGUGAAAUGCGUAGAGAUGUGGAGGAACACCAAUGGCGAAGGCAGCCCCCUGGGUCGAUACUGACGCUCAUGCACGAAAGCGUGGGUAGCAAACAGGAUUAGAUACCCUGGUAGUCCACGCCCUAAACGAUGUCAACUAGGUGUUGGGAGGGUAAAACCUUUUAGUGCCGUAGCUAAC